UUCUCGGCUGGGGCUGGGCGGCCUGCGAGUCUGAAGGCGGGAGGAGAUCACCCUCGAAGGAGGUGGGGUCAGAUGCCAACGGCGUCUGGUAGGGGUCAAAAUUACUCAAGGGGCGGUGGGCACCGCGGGCAACGUCCCUGCGGGUACUUGCCUCUCCCUUAAGGCCACGCAGAACCACCCCUCCUGAGAUGCACUUGGGCAGUGACGUAACGUGGCGUCGCCGCAGCCUAACUACCCGAGCGCUUCCAUGGUGACAGACGACUAGGAGGGUGGUCGGGAGCCGUGGUCAUUUUGUUGCUACCUCAAGCUGCUCAAGUCCGAAGGCGCACAGAGUGGUUCAUUCCUGAUCUCUUCCCCGGACUCCCUUUCAGGGAAGAUCGAUAAGAUCAGUUUCUGGACAAAACCCUUUCUACUGACGUAUCUGAGUCUUCUGAUCUCAAGCUGGGCCCCACAAGUUACUGUUUUUCUUAAGUAAAGAGCAGUAGUCUGAGUUAAAGAGCAUCCUUUGUCGGUGUGUAUUACAAAGUGAAACUUGUAAAUUGUUGCAAAUAUUUAAAGAAAGCAUUUAGGGCCCAUCGUACAAAAAACAUCAUCUCAAAUAUUUAUUUGCAAGUGAGUUCUUUGAAACUUAGAACUUGGCCUUCUCAUAGUCAUGGUGAGGUAAAUAAUGGAUUAGUUCCUGGGCUAAUCUACAAGUGUUAUCUGAUCUAUGAUGUCAUUCAAAUAAUGUGCAUUUGCAGUUAAAAAUGUAUCCAUAAGCAAUACUUCUGCAAUGCUUUACAAUUUAAAAAAUGAGAAAGAAAACCCCUCCGUAUUGAGUGAGUAAUUCUUCAUGAAUGCUGGUACUUAAAGAAAGGUGGGUUUUAAUGGUCAAGCAUAAAAAGUUGGUUAGAAGUUGUGGAGUUCUGGGGGAGGAGUUAAGAUGGCGGAGGACUAGGACGGGGAGACCACUUUCUCCCCUACAAAUUCAUCG